UUGGAGGGCAAGUCUGGUGCCAGCAGCCGCGGUAAUUCCAGCUCCAAUAGCGUAUAUUAAAGUUGUUGCAGUUAAAAAGCUCGUAGUUGAAUUUCGGAGUUUGUCGGUUGGUCGGGCUUCACUGACCGCAUUGGCCUGAUGGAUUUCUACCUUCUGAAUAACCAGCAUGCUAUUAAGUUAGUGCGUUGGGGAAGCAGAGCUAUUACCUUGAAAAAAUUAGAGUGCUUAAAGCAGGCUUAUGCUUGAAUAGAUUAGCAUGGAAUAAUAAAAUAGGACGGCAUGGUUCUAUUUUGUUGGUUUCUAGGAUCACCGUAAUGAUUAAUAGGGAUAGUUGGGGGCAUUAGUAUUCAAUUGUCAGAGGUGAAAUUCUUGGAUUUAUUGAAGACUAACUUCUGCGAAAGCAUUUGCCAAGGAUGUUUUCAUUAGUCAAGAACCAAACUUAGGGGAUCGAAGACGAUCAGAUACCGUUGUAGUCUUAACCAUAAACUAUGCCGACUAGGGAUCGGACGAUGUUAAUUUUUUAAUGACUCGUUCGGCGCCUUACGGGAAAC
rnacentral:rRNA from 1 species